rnacentral:rRNA from 1 species
UACGUAGGGUCCGAGCGUUGUCCGGAAUUAUUGGGCGUAAAGGGCUCGUAGGCGGUUUGUCGCGUCGGGAGUGAAAACACGGGGCUUAACCCCGUGCCUGCUUCCGAUACGGGCAGACUAGAGGUAUGCAGGGGAGAACGGAAUUCCUGGUGUAGCGGUGAAAUGCGCAGAUAUCAGGAGGAACACCGGUGGCGAAGGCGGUUCUCUGGGAAUAUCCUGACGCUGAGGAGCGAAAGUGUGGGGAGCGAACAGG